AGAGCGAACGCUGGCGGCAGGCUUAACACAUGCAAGUCGAGCGGGCGUAGCAAUACGUCAGCGGCAGACGGGUGAGUAACGCGUGGGAACGUACCUUUUGGUUCGGAACAACACAGGGAAACUUGUGCUAAUACCGGAUAAGCCCUUACGGGGAAAGAUUUAUCGCCGAAAGAUCGGCCCGCGUCUGAUUAGCUAGUUGGUGGGGUAACGGCUCACCAAGGCGACGAUCAGUAGCUGGUCUGAGAGGAUGAUCAGCCACAUUGGGACUGAGACACGGCCCAAACUCCUACGGGAGGCAGCAGUGGGGAAUAUUGGACAAUGGGCGCAAGCCUGAUCCAGCCAUGCCGCGUGAGUGAUGAAGGCCCUAGGGUUGUAAAGCUCUUUUGUGCGGGAAGAUAAUGACGGUACGCAAGAAUAAGCCCGGCUAACUCGUGCCAGCAGCCGC
rnacentral:rRNA from 1 species